rnacentral:rRNA from 1 species
CCUACGGGCGUGCAGCAGUGGGGAAUAUUGGACAAUGGGCGAAAGCCUGAUCCAGCCAUGCCGCGUGUGUGAAGAAGGCCUUCGGGUUGUAAAGCACUUUCAGUGGGGAAGAAAGCCUUGGGGCUAAUACCCUCGAGGAAGGACAUCACCCACAGAAGAAGCACCGGCUAACUCCGUGCCAGCAGCCGCGGUAAUACGGAGGGUGCGAGCGUUAAUCGGAAUUACUGGGCGUAAAGCGCGCGUAGGCGGUCUGAUAAGCCGGUUGUGAAAGCCCCGGGCUCAACCUGGGAACGGCAUCCGGAACUGUCAGGCUAGAGUGCAGGAGAGGAAGGUAGAAUUCCCGGUGUAGCGGUGAAAUGCGUAGAGAUCGGGAGGAAUACCAGUGGCGAAGGCGGCCUUCUGGACUGACACUGACGCUGAGGUGCGAAAGCGUGGGUAGCAAACAGGAUUAGAUACCCUAGUAGUC